rfam:Anopheles minimus strain MINIMTS1 unplaced genomic scaffold supercont1.1, whole genome shotgun sequence.
AUACUUACCUGGCACAGGGGUUACCGUGAUCAUGAAGGCGGUUCCCCCAGGGCGAGGCCUGGCCAUUGCACACUUGGGCUGGGUUGACCCCUGCGAUUAUCCCUCAUGUGGAUAACUCGUGUGCGCAAUUUUUGGUAGCCGGGAAGUGCGUUCGCGCACAUCCCGA